GGGUCCAUAGCUCAACAGGAUAGAGCAUCGGAUUUCUAAUCCGGGGGUUGGGAGUUCGAGCCUCUCUGGACCCGCCA
rnacentral:tRNA from 1 species